rnacentral:misc_RNA from 1 species
UCUCCCGUGAGGGAGCAGUCUCGCCUGAAAAUUAACAGGCAACGGGGGUUGCGUUCGUUACCCCACUGAAGGGAACAGUUCAAACCACGAACUGACGACGACCAUGCAUCACCUGUCCAGCACCCUCGAAGGCUCCAUCCCUUUCGGGUUGGAUGCAGCUGGAUUUCUAAUCUUGGUAAGGUUCUUCGCUUGUCGACGAAUUAAGCCACAUGAUCCACCGCUUGUGCGAGUCCCCGUCUAUUCCUUUGAGUUUUAAGCUUGCGCUCGUACUACCCAGGCGGCUCGCUUACCGCGUUAGCUUAGUCCCGCAGAGGGUCGAUACUCCGCAGAACGAGCGAGCAGCGUUUAGGGCCAGGACUAC